rnacentral:misc_RNA from 1 species
AACACUGUUAACCUGCGGUACCUGCGGAGGGAUCAUUAACAAGCUGUGGGAGAUCAAUUUGAUCUCACACCUGGCCAACCUUGUUAACCUUAAAUAUAUUGCUUUGGUGAGCCCUGCUCACCAAAGUCAAACCCUAAACUCUUGAUUGUUUCUGCUGUCUGAGCAUGCAAGUGCAAAAUUUAGUUAAAAACUUUUAACAACGGAUCU